rnacentral:rRNA from 1 species
AGGAUAAACGCUGGCGGCGUGCCUAACACAUGCAAGUCGAACGCACUCAGCAAUGAGUGAGUGGCGGACGGGUGAGUAACACGUGGGCAAUCUACCUUUCGGUGAGGAAUACCGGCGAGAAAUCGCCGACAAUACCGCAUACGCUUCGCAAGAAGCAAAGUCGCAAGACGCCGGAGGAGGAGCCUGCGCCCGAUUAGCUAGUUGGUGGAGUAAUGGUCUACCAAGGCGACGAUCGGUAGCUGGUCUGAGAGGAUGAUCAGCCACACUGGGAUUGAGAACGGCCCAGACUCCUACGGGGGCAGCAGUGAGGAAUUUUCGUCAAUGGGGGCAACCCUGAACGAGCAACGCCGCGUGCAGGAUGACGCUUUUCGGAGUGUAAACUGCUUUUCUAGGGACGAGUAAGGACGGUACCUAAGGAAUAACGCCCGGCUAACUACGUGCCAGCAGCCG